rnacentral:rRNA from 1 species
GAUGAACGCUAGCGACAGGCUUAACACAUGCAAGUCGAGGGGCAGCGGAGUGAGUAGCAAUACGAUCUGCCGGCGACCGGCGCACGGGUGAGUAACGCGUAUGCAACCUACCUAUCAGAGUGGGAUAGCCCAUCGAAAGAUGGAUUAAUACCGCAUAAAACAGUGGUUCCGCAUGGGACAAUUCGUUAAAGAAAUUCGCUGAUAGAUGGGCAUGCGUUCCAAUAGUUAGUUGGUGAGGUAACGGCCCACCAAGACAUCGAUGGAUAGGGGUUCUGAGAGGAAGGUCCCCCACACUGGUACUGAGACACGGACCAGACUCCUACGGGAGGCAGCAGUGAGGAAUAUUGGUCAAUGGGCGAGAGCCUGAACCAGCCAAGUCGCGUGAAGGAUGACUGCCCUAUGGGUUGUAAACUUCUUUUAUACGGGAAUAAAAAAGGGUAUGUAUACCCUAUUGCAUGUACCGUUAUGAAUAAGCAUCGGCUAACUCCGU